GCGGGUGUAGUUCAAUGGUAGAACACCAGCGUUCCAAGCUGGAUACGUGGGUUCGAUUCCCAUCACCCGCU
rnacentral:tRNA from 1 species